rnacentral:rRNA from 1 species
GAUGAACGCUGGCGGCGUGCCUAAUACAUGCAAGUCGAGCGAACAGACGAGGAGCUUGCUCCUCUGACGUUAGCGGCGGACGGGUGAGUAACACGUGGAUAACCUACCUAUAAGACUGGGAUAACUUCGGGAAACCGGAGCUAAUACCGGAUAAUAUAUUGAACCGCAUGGUUCAAUAGUGAAAGACGGUUUUGCUGUCACUUAUAGAUGGAUCCGCGCCGCAUUAGCUAGUUGGUAAGGUAACGGCUUACCAAGGCAACGAUGCGUAGCCGACCUGAGAGGGUGAUCGGCCACACUGGAACUGAGACACGGUCCAGACUCCUACGGGAGGCAGCAGUAGGGAAUCUUCCGCAAUGGGCGAAAGCCUGACGGAGCAACGCCGCGUGAGUGAUGAAGCUCUUCGGAUCGUAAAACUCUGUUAUUAGGGAAGAACAAAUGUGUAAGUAACUAUGCACGUCUUGACGGUACCUAAUCAGAAAGCCACGGCUAACUACGUG